ACUUCUUACAGGGACUGUUGACUUUAGUCAUGGAAGUUUGAGGCAAUAACAGGUCUGUGAUGCCCUUAGAUGUUCUGGGCCGCACGCGCGCUACACUGAUCAAGUCAGCGAGUUUACAACCUUGGCCGGAAGGUCUGGGUAAUCUUUUGAAACUUGAUCGUGCUGGGGAUAGUCCAUUGCAAUUAUUGNACUUCAACGAGGAAUUCCUAGUAAGCGUGAGUCAUCAGCUCGCGUUGAUUACGUCCCUGCCCUUUGUACACACCGCCCGUCGCUACUACCGAUUGAAUGGCU
rnacentral:rRNA from 1 species